rnacentral:rRNA from 1 species
GACGAACGCUGGCGGCGUGCUUAACACAUGCAAGUCGAACGGAAAGGCCCCUUUGGGGGUACUCGAGUGGCGAACGGGUGAGUAACACGUGAGUAACCUGCCCUUGACUUCGGGAUAACUUCAGGAAACUGGGGCUAAUACCGGAUAGGAAUCCUUGCUGCAUGGUGGGGGUUGGAAAGCUUCGGCGGUUUUGGAUGGACUCGCGGCUUAUCAGCUCGUUGGUGGGGUAGUGGCUUACCAAGGCUUUGACGGGUAGCCGGCCUGAGAGGGCGACCGGCCACAUUGGGACUGAGAUACGGCCCAGACUCCUACGGGAGGCAGCAGUGGGGAAUAUUGCACAAUGGGCGGAAGCCUGAUGCAGCAACGCCGCGUGCGGGAUGACGGCCUUCGGGUUGUAAACCGCUUUCAGCAGGGGCGAAGCUUGUGGUGACGGUACCUGCAGAAGAAGCACCGGCUAACUACGUG